rnacentral:lncRNA from 1 species
GCAUCUUGUGGUUUCCCGCUCCUUCUUGCACCUCCUUCUCCACCUUGGGCUCAAUGGAGGCAUCGUCUUGCUUCAAGGUUAGAGGCAGGCUCCGUGCUGAUGACGCCGGUUCGGAUCCUUCUUCUUGGAAGGUGCACUUUCCUUUGUCACGCGAUGAUGCACACUCAGCAUCCUCCAAAUAGGCUGCGCGAUCUGAGCCGUGCAAGGAAAUUUCACUUUCGUCUUUGUUUUCUUCAUCCGAGGUUUUGACCCACCGGGAAGCGUCAGAUGGUCGGUGCCUUUCACUAUGAGACAGCUCAGUGUGCUGUUCCCCUCCAGUGGUUGCCAAAUGCUCACCGUUCCAGCGAUACGGGUUCACCGAUUGUCCAAUAUGCCCGUGAUCUGCACUGUGAAUAACUGUGGAUAGAUGGCUGUGGGGCGUCGUUUCGGUAAAUCCAUCGGAUUCAGAAUUGCAAAGACUGUGUCUUAUUUCUCGAUGUUUUUUUUCCACUCGGGCGUCUGUGAUACGAGUGGCUCUACACCCGUUUAUCGCCCGACAUCCUUCCACCUCGCGGUCACUCUUAUAGACUGUUGAAGCGGCAAAGGUGCUGUCUGCUUGGGAACUUACUUUUUCACAGCCGGGGUGCAUUUUGCCUUGCGCCGCUGUGUGAAAGCCAUUGGUAGAGUUCUCCAUGUUCUUAACCUCGGGUAUUGCAUGUGCUUCAUCUGUACUUCUGAUCACUUGUGCGUCCACUUCAUGUUUCUUGUCCUCGCUAUUCUUGUGGCCACUUUCAUCAAUGUCAAAAGGGACCGUGCUUGUAGGAUAUCCACUCUCACGAGGCGGUACGACGAGGGGAACACAUCUGCUUUCCAUGUCGCUAAAAUUGUUUAAUGCCGGACAGAAAUCUACGGACUCGGUUGAGUCAGCAACUGCAUUGUUUACAGAAAGUCCUUCUCUGCCACAAAUAGCUUUCCUGUAGUGGCGUGCAUUCAUGUAGGUUGAGCAUCUGUUGCUCACACAAGAUAUGCUAGGUUCGAUCUUUUCCUCGGUAAUAAUGGAGUCAACCAGGCACGGUUUUUGUGUGUCGUGGUCUGAAUUUGUGUCACACGCUAUGCAAUGUUGGCUUGCAUUGGACGGUGCAGCAGCGUGCUUCCACGAAUCUGGCUGGUGUUCCUCGCGCAGGGUUUCGCAAAGAGAACUCUCGCUUCCCAAACGGCCUUCGUCUCCGGUGGAUUUAUCCGCCUUUCUCGUUCGUUGCCUAGAACACUUUGUUCCUUCUGUGUCCACGACCACAGUACAUAAGUCGGAUUGUAAUUGUAAGGAGUCUUCUGUGAGAAAGCGUUCACCCGCUGUUCCCCCGACGCCGUUUGUUCCGUGGUGCUUACCACGUCUCUUAUCUUUGUCAACCCCUAGCUGUUCAUGAACAGCAGGUUCAGACGCAUGCAUGAAAUUUCCAAACUGCAAGUCGCCUGGAGGUAACUUUGGCAGAAGCAGGCCCGUUUCGUCUAAACUAGCGGCCAGGUCAUGCUGUGGACUAUUCACGUUUGCUCCAGAAUUACUCUUUGACGUUGGAGCGUGAUUCCGGCAGUCAAGUCUUGCAAUCUGCGCUGCCUCCAUCCCUAUAAACAAAGCAACAUGUUCCAGCAUCCCCUUCUUGGUGUGGUUCCCCCAAAGACUUCGUCCGUUCGCUGCUGAUCCCAUCCACGCAACAGGCAGCGGCAAGCAGAGUCCCUCCCGUCGCCGUCGUCUGCGAUGCAACUGGAGGACAAGGCGCCGCCGCCCUUUGUGUAUGUGCCGUCGUCGAUUCCGUUUGUUCCACUUGCGUCUUAUUUCUAGACCCUGUCGUAGCAAAUCCCUCGUUCUCCGCCUUCUCGGUCACGUCUCUGCACACGAGGUUUGAAGCGCAAGAGGCGGCUUCACGUGAUGGUGAUGAUCUUGACGGUUCAUCCCUUGCAGCCGAUUGUCCUAUUCUCGUCUUUCGGGUCUUUGUUUGUAUCGUAUCAGUGUCUGCGCGACUCGUGCAGUGGAUAGAGGUCCUGAAAAUUCCAAGACGCACCACUCUGCUCUCACAAGGUGUCCUCAGUUCUAGGUCAGUCCCUGGCGUUGGUACUGACCCCGUUUCGUCAUCCACAACGGAUGCCCUGAGAAAGGCCUCCUGGCACCGAUCUCGCUCUGCACGCCAGGCAGUCUCUUCAUCUCCUUUCGCCUGUUUAUUUGCCUCGGUUUCUUGAAUGCCAAGAAAAUCGGAAUCUGACGACACCAGCCUGCGUACCCCGAGUGCAGUCUCGUUCUCACUCGACCACUCAGGUAUUUCCCCGACUUCGUCUCCUUGACGUGUCUUCUGCUCUCCUCUCGACGUGGUGUAUUCUGGCGAAGGGCUGUGAGAAGGCUUUCCCGGACACUGCGCAUCCUGAAGAGUUUCUUCUUUCGGAUUCGCCAUAAUUGGGAGGCCGCUGACCCCAAAGUCCGGGCCAGGAUCUUCGUUUGUCUUCGAGCCAGGCGUAGAAAUUGCCUUGAUAUUCGUUUUCCCUUUGUUCUCGUCGGCUGAAAUCUCGUCUUCACUUCUCUCUGUCUCCCUCGAAUUCCGAACGUCUUUCUUCAUUUGAAAUUCUCCCUCGUUGGUUCCUACCUCGCUGCGGAGUGUUUCGUCUGCCUCAGAUUUUUCUGCUACCCACGUCACUUUCGCGGAGGCCGCCAGUGCCGGUGCAUCCUCGACUUUCUCUCUUCCAGUUAUGUUCUGUGGUGUGUCGGCAUGACGUUCUUCUCGCGCUCCUUGCCCUUCAUCGUCUUCCUCACUUUCACUCUUCCUGGUGUCUCUGUCGGCUUCCUUCUCUUCACUUUCUUGUUUUUCUGGUUGUGUUCGCUUCUGUUCCUCUCUCUCUGGCGAACUCUGUGCUUCCACCACCUUCAAGGUGUCCUCUCCGUUAUGAGGUGAAGCGCGUCUUGGCGAUUUCACUGCCUCCCCUUGGACCACAGUUAUUCUCUCCCUUUCUAAAUGAGAGACAGGCUUUGUAUUGAACAGAGGCAUAUCCAUUUCGCUCUCCUUCUCACCCUGUACUCGUUGGUUUCUGUCAUCCUUAACCUGGUCGUUUUCUUUGCCUUCCCGACGAGUUUCUGCUCCUUGCUUCUUUAGCUGUUCCCGCUGUUUUUCACAUGCCUGCAGUUCUCUCUCUGCCUUCACGGCUGCACUAUUCCACGCAGUUGAGGGGCUUGAUUCAG